AACGAACGCUGGCGGCAUGCCUAACACAUGCAAGUCGAACGGGAUCCUAGCUUGCUAGGUGAGAGUGGCGGACGGGUGAGUAACACGUGGGAAUCUCGCCUUUUAGGUUCGGGAUAACCGCGGGAAACUGCGGCUAAUACCGAAUGCCCUCGAGAGAGGAAGAUUAUCGCCAGAAGAGGAGCCCGCGUCCGAUUAGGUAGUUGGUGGGGUAAAGGCCUACCAAGCCGACGAUCGGUAGCUGGUCUGAGAGGAUGAUCAGCCACACUGGGACUGAGAUACGGCCCAGACUCCUACGGGAGGCAGCAGUGGGAAUAUUGGACAAUGGGGCAACCCUGAUCCAGCAAUG
rnacentral:rRNA from 1 species